rnacentral:rRNA from 1 species
AUACGUAGGGGGCAAGCGUUAUCCGGAUUUACUGGGUGUAAAGGGAGCGUAGACGGCAAAGCAAGUCUGAAGUGAAAGCCCCGGGCUCAACCCGGGAAUUGCUUUGGAAACUGUUUAGCUGGAGUGCAGGAGAGGUAAGCGGAAUUCCUAGUGUAGCGGUGAAAUGCGUAGAUAUUAGGAGGAACACCGGCGGCGAAGGCGGCUUACUGGACUGUAACUGACGUUGAGGCUCGACAGCGUGGGGAGCAAUCGGGUUUGGAUACCCUGGUAGUCCACGCCGUAAACGAUGAUUACUAGGUGUUGGUUGUCAUAGACAAUCGGUGCCGCAGCAAACGCAAUAAGUAAUCCACCUGGGGAGUACGUUCGCAAGAAUGAAACUCAAAGGAAUUGACGGGG